rnacentral:rRNA from 1 species
UACGGGGGGGGUAAGCGUUGUUCGGAAUUACUGGGCGUAAAGGGCUUGUAGGUGGCCAACUAAGUCAGACGUGAAAUCCCUCGGCUUAACCGGGGAACUGCGUCUGAUACUGGAUGGCUCGAGUGUGGGAGAGGAAUGCGGAAUUCCAGGUGUAGCGGUGAAAUGCGUAGAUAUCUGGAGGAACACCGGUGGCGAAGGCGGCAUUCUGGACCAUAACUGACACUGAGAGACGAAAGCCAGGGGAGCAAACGGG